UGUUCUGUUAGCAUAACAGGUCCCAACACGUACAGUCUAAAGUGCUCUCUAGCUAAUGUUCUGUUAGCAUAACAGGUCCCAACACGUACAGUCUAAAGUGCUUUCUAGCUAAUGUUCUGUUAGCAUAACAGGUCCCAACAUGUACAGUCUAAAGUGCUUCUGCUACAGAGUAGUCAAACAACAUUAUCUGACAGUAGCUAAUGUUCUGUUAGCAUAACAGGUUCUGAUACGGAGUAGUCAAAACAACAUUAUCUGACAGUAGCUAAUGUUCUGUUAGCAUAACAGGUCCCAACACGUACAGUCUAAAGUGCUCUCUAGCUAAUGUUCUGUUAGCAUAACAGGUCCCAACACGUACAGUCUAAAGUGCUCUCUAGCUAAUGUUCUGUUAGCAUAACAGGUCCCAACACGUACAGUCUAAAGUGCUUUCUAGCUAAUGUUCUGUUAGCAUAACAGGUCCCAACACGUACAGUCUAAAGUGGUUCUGCUACAGAGUAGUCAAACAACAUUAUCUGACAGUAGCUAAUGUUCUGUUAGCAUAACAGGUUCUGAUACGGAGUAGUCAAAACAACAUUAUCUGACAGUAGCUAAUGUACUGUUAGCAUAACAGGUCCCAACACGUACAGUCUAAAGUGCUUUCUAGCUAAUGUUCUGUUAGCAUAACAGGUCCCAACACGUACAGUCUAAAAUGC
ensembl:lncRNA